UAGGGCUCGAACCAAUGAUGUGCUGAUCCCCUCUUCUAUGGGAGCCAUUCGACUUGCGGGUGUGCAACAGCCUGCUGAAUUGGGCACCUGCAGAAUGCUCAAAGGCUUUGGGCUGAACAAAUCAACACCAGGGUGAGGAUGUGGGAAGAGAAAGGAAAGUAGGCACUGGAGCAGACUAUGCUGCAAAACAUUCACUUUCACAACUGUAACAGAAGACUCACAAGCACCAUAGGUUCACACCAUGGUGUACUUGAUGUGCUACUGCAGCCAGCCUGGGCCCCAUCUGCAAGGUCCUGC